rnacentral:lncRNA from 11 species
CACACACACACAAACAUACAUAGGUGUGUAUAUACACAUACAUACGUAUUAUAUAUACACACACAUACACAUACAUACGACACAGACACACACACACACACACACACCACACAGGCACAUUAGAAGUGUUUAAUGUACACACACAUACGUAUAUAUCACACAUACAGAUACAUACGUGUAUAUAUAUAUAUACACACAUACACACACACACACACACAAACACACACACACACACCACACAGGCACAUUAGAAGUGUUUAAUGUACACACACACACAUAUAUAUAUAUACACACACACACACACACACACCACACAGGCACAUUAGAAGUGUUUAAUGUACACACACAUACGUAUAUAUAAGUAAACACAUUAGAACGUCAUUUAAUUAAAAGUGUUUAUUUCACAUAUUUAGAUACACACAAGAGUCACAGGCACCUUUCAUUGGGCCAGAAGGGUUUAUUACAGGUAUGGACAAACUUCCCUCUGGGUGUUUUGGACUUCAAAUCCCAGCAUUCCUGACUGUCAGGUAGGCUGUUAGGAAUUGUGGGAGUUGAAGUCCAAAACACCUGGAGGGAAGGCCAAAGUUGGUCCAUCCCUGGUUCAUAUAUAUAUAUAUAUAUACAUAUGUAAUUGACAUAGCACGUUACUAUGCUUAUAUAUAUAUAUAUAUAGUAUAUAAUAUACAACAUAAUUUACACUAUAUAAUAUAUAUAAUAUAUUGUAUAUACAUAAUAUUGAUAUUAUAAUGUAUUACGAUAUAAUACUGGUAAUAAUACAAUAUAGUAAUUUAUUGCCAGUAUUGUAUUAUGUUAAUAAUAUAAUAUUGUAUGUAAAUAUAAUUUGUAAGCUGCUCUUGAGUCCCCUUUGGGGUGAAAAGGGCAGGAUAUAAAUGUAGUAAAUAAAUCAUAAUUAAAUAU